UACGUAGGGGGGCUAGCGUUGUCCGGAAUCAUUGGGCGUAAAGAGCUCGUAGGCGGUUCGAUAAGUCGGGUGUGAAACCUCCAGGCUCAACCUGGAGACGCCACCCGAUACUGUUGUGACUGGAGUCCGGUAGGGGAGCGUGGAAUUCCUGGUGUAGCGGUGAAAUGCGCAGAUAUCAGGAGGAACACCGGUGGCGAAGGCGGGUCUCUGGGCCAUUACUGACGCUGAGGAGCGAAAGCGUGGGGAGCGAACAGG
rnacentral:rRNA from 1 species